rnacentral:rRNA from 1 species
GACGAACGCUGGCGGCGCGCCUAACACAUGCAAGUCGAACGGAGCUGCGAGAAGCUUGCUCUUCUUAGCUUAGCGGCGGACGGGUGAGUAACGCGUGCGUCACCUGCCCUGGUGUGGGGGACAAUAGUUGGAAACAACUUCUAAUACCGCAUAAUUCCACGAUCCGGCAUCGGCUUGAGGGAAUAGGAUUUUUUCUGUUGAGGAUGGACUCGCAUCCAUUAAGCUAGUUGGUGGGGUAACGGCCAACCAAGGCAACGAUUGGUAGCCGGGAUGAGAGGUAGGGCCGCCACACUGGGACUGGGACACGGCCCAGACUACUACGGGAGGCAGCAGUGGGGGAUAUAGCACAAUGGGGGAAACCCUGAUGCAGCUACGCCGCGUGAAGGAAGAAGGUGUUAGGAUUGUAAACUCCUGUCAUUAGGGACGAUAAUGACGGUACCUAACAAAUAAGCACCGGCUAACUACGUG